AUUGAACGCUGGCGGCAUGCUUUACACAUGCAACUCGGACGAGUGGCGAACGGGUGAGUAACGCAACGGAACGUACCGAGUAAUGGGGGAUAACUUUUCGAAAGGACAGCUCAUACCGCAUAAUAUUCGAGCGGCCGGUGUCUGAUUAGCUGGUUGGUGGGGUAGAGGCCCACCAAGGCGACGAUCAGUAGCGGGUCUGAGAGGAUGAUCCGCCACACUGGGACUGAGACACGGCCCAGACUCCUACGGGAGGCAGCAGUGGGGAAUUUUGGACAAUGGGGGAAAGCCUGAUGCAGCAAUGCCGCGUGUCUGAAGAAGGCUUUCGGGUGGUAAAGGACUUUUGUCAGGGAAGCGGUACCUGAAGAAUAAGCACCGGCUAACUCCGUGCCAGCCGCCGCGGUAAUUC
rnacentral:rRNA from 1 species